CCGACGGAUAAGAAAGGCAACGCCAUUUCUUUCACUAUCAUUGUCCACCGUACAACAAGAUUGACUGCAACAAACUUUCAAUCUGAUUGGCAAAGCAUUUAAUCCAAUUGGGUCACUCUCAAAUCCGUAACAGAUCUCUGAAAUUUGUGAUGCCGAUGGUAUACCUAACUCAUAAUCCUUCUCUGUCGUUACUUUCAAAUCCGAGUCUGCGAUGCAGUUUACUUUGGGAAUUGAAGACGUGGUACGGUGGGAGAAAUGGAACAAUCAAAGAUAUGGUUGUUAGAAGGUCAUUAUCAUCUGGUAUGAACUUCUGAAGAAUGGUGGAAGCUUGUUUGUUCUUUCAUAAAAAUGGAAAAUGGAUGUGAUAUAUGAAGCUUCAGCAAUUAUGAGUGAAGCUCAAGAACAGGUGGGUGGUUGUUGGAUGCACACUCGUGGGCUUGAGGCUGCAAGAGUUCGUGGGCUGGGUCGAGGUUGGUCGGCUAAUGGGUUGUGGUGUUUGCUGAAGGUUGGGUCUAGAGUUUGAAGACCUGAUCCAAUACGACUUGCAACUUCUUCUUCCUUACCCGAGGUUUUGCAGAUAUGAUAUCCUCUGCGUAGACGAUCUUCCACAGACAUAGACAUGUUUCCACAUCACAUAUAGGCCAGAAUUUUCAUUAAUAGAAGUAAAAUUAGAGAAAUACAGACUAAAUAAACAAAGAGCAGACAAU